rnacentral:sRNA from 3 species
UAUUCUGCCCCAUGGGGAAGGAUGAGAAGCUUCGACUAAGGUUCGACUCGAGCGAAGCGAGAGAACGUUGCCGCAGGCAACGGCCCGAAG